AUACGUAGGGGGCGAGCGUUGUCCGGAAUGACUGGGCGUAAAGGGCGUGUAGGCGGCCGAUUAAGUCUGGAGUGACAGUCCUGCUUUCAAGGUGGGAAUUGCUUUGGAGACUGGUUGGCUUGAGUGCGGUAGAGGUUAGUGGAAUUCUCAGUGUAGCGGUGAAAUGCGUUGAGAUUGGGAGGAACACCAGUGACUAAGGCGCGUUACUGGGCCGUAACUGACGCUGAGGCGCGAAAUCGUGGGGAGCGAACAGGAUUAGAUACCCUGGUAGUCCACGCUGUAUACGAUGAAUACUAGGUGUAGGGUGUAUCGACCCCCUCUGUGCCGACGUUAACACAUUAAGUAUUCCACCUGGGGAGUACGGCCGCAAGGCUGAUACUCAAAGGAAUUGACGGGG
rnacentral:rRNA from 1 species